rnacentral:rRNA from 1 species
GACGUGGGUGGCGAGCGUUAUCCGGAUUUACUGGGCGUAAAGCGCGUGCAGGCGGUUUGGUAAGUCGGGCGUGAAAUCUCCUGGCUCCACUGGGAGGGGUCGUCCGAAACUACUAGACUUGAGGGCAGUAGAGGGAGGUGGAAUUCCAGGUGUAGUGGUGAAAUGCGUAGAUAUCUGGAGGAACACCGGUGGCGAAAGCGGCCUCCUGGGCUGCCCCUGACGCUCAGACGCGAAAGCUAGGGGAGCGAACGGG